rnacentral:rRNA from 1 species
CCAAUAGCGUAUAUUAAAGUUGUUGCAGUUAAAAAGCUCGUAGUUGAAUUUCGGGACCAAUAUGUCGGUCGUGCCUCGGUACGUACUGGUGUCAUUGGUUUCUCCCUUCUGAGGAUCCUUGAUGUCAUUAAUUUGGUGUCUAGGGGAAUCAGGACUGUUACCUUGAAAAAAUUAGAGUGUUUAAAGCAGGCAUACGCUUGAAUACAUUAGCAUGGAAUAAUGAAAUAGGACGUUCGAUUCUAUUUUGUUGGUUUCUAGGAUCGACGUAAUGAUUAAUAGGGAUAGUUGGGGGCAUUAGUAUUCAAUUGUCAGAGGUGAAAUUCUUGGAUUUAUUGAAGACUAACUACUGCGAAAGCAUUUGCCAAGGAUGUUUUCAUUAAUCAAGAACGAAAGUUAGGGGAUCGAAGACGAUCAGAUACCGUCGUAGUCUUAACCACAAACUAUGCCGACUAGGGAUCGGAUGAUGUUAAUUUUUUAAUGACUCAUUCGGCGCCUUACG